rnacentral:rRNA from 1 species
UACAGAGGGGGCAAGCGUUGUUCGGAAUUACUGGGCGUAAAGGGCGCGUAGGCGGCCUGCUAAGUCGAACGUGAAAUCCCCGGGCUCAACCCGGGAACUGCGUCCGAUACUGGCAGGCUUGAAUUCGGGAGAGGGAUGCGGAAUUCCAGGUGUAGCGGUGAAAUGCGUAGAUAUCUGGAGGAACACCGGUGGCGAAGGCGGUUCUCUGGGCAUUACCUGACGCUGAGGAGCGAAAGUGUGGGGAGCGAACAGG